GUAGGGGGCAAGCGUUGUCCGGAUUUAUUGGGCGUAAAGAGCUCGUAGGCGGCUUAGCAAGCCGGUCGUGAAAUACCGAGGCUCAACCUCGGAACGCCGGUCGAAACUGCUAUGGCUAGGGUCCGGUAGAGGAGAGUGGAAUUCCCGGUGUAGCGGUGAAAUGCGCAGAUAUCGGGAGGAACACCAGUAGCGAAGGCGGCUCUCUGGGCCGGUACCGACGCUGAGGAGCGAAAGCGUGGGGAGCAAACAGGAUUAGAUACCCUGGUAGUCCACGCCGUAAACGAUGGGCACUAGGUGUGGCAAGUUCAUCAACGCUUGCCGUGCCGUAGCUAACGCAUUAAGUGCCCCCGCCUGGGGAGUACGGUCGCAAGGCUA
rnacentral:rRNA from 1 species